rnacentral:snRNA from 1 species
GGGGGUGAGGGUGACUGGUCCCUUCAUUAAUCACAAAGGUUGAUUCAGUUGACUUGGUUGGAUAGGCAGGUGUCUUCCUCCUUCACUGCUCCAUGUGUGUCCCUCCUGAAGAUGUAUGCUCAGUCAAAAUGGACAACCUCCCCCAAAUAGAGAUGGAAAGGUCUGUUUUCGCUGAAGUAGUUAUGCUCCUCUUCUAGAACCUCCAAACAAGCUUUCAAAAACAAUGGGGACACCAAAGAACAAGAUUUUAGAGAAAAUGGGAAUAAGGAAUAGAUGACCAUGUGUGUUAUGUUUGCAUUC